rnacentral:lncRNA from 1 species
CGAUACCAGAGUGGCCAAGCAGCAGGCUGACGAGUGGAUGGGAGUGCCACAGGUCAUUGCCCCAGAGGAGUUCAUCGACCCUGGUGUGGAUGAGCAGUCCAUCAUGACUUACCUCUCCAUGUUCCCCAAAGCUCAACUGAAACCUGGAGCCCCCCUCAAUCCCCAAUCAGGUCAAGGGUGGUUUCGUGGGAACCCUAGCAGAGUUCACCAUAGACAUAAACAGCUCCGGCAGCCAUCGGCUCAAGGUGACAGUAGACGGCCCCAGCCCGACGAAAAUAAAGUGUUCCGAUAAUGAGGAUGGAACUUGUACAAGAUAGUUCCUAUAGGGUGGUAUAUCUGCUCCUCAUCGCUGGUGUGUACACGCUACGGCUGAAGUAUGGUGGGAAAGUGGUAGCCAAUUUCGCCUCCGAGGUUGUUGUGCAUCCGGCUGUUUACAAGAGGCAAGUGAAGGUGUCUGGGACUGGAGCUGAAAGGGAAGCAGGUCUGAAUGGCCUUGACAGAGAAUGUGACCCAGCCAGAUUGUUUGCAAAUGGCAUAGGACUUCUAGGUCAGAGUAACAGUUUCAACAUCACAACCAGGGGUACUCGAGCAGGUGGCUUGGCCAUCACUGUGGAGGGCCCAUUGGAUGUGCAGGUCACCUUCACAGAGAAACAAGAUGGAUGCUA